rnacentral:lncRNA from 1 species
CCCCUCACAUUAAAAGACCUAGAGCUAGAAAUAUAACAUUAGAUUAGAGAGACCCUCCCCAUGUUCUAGACCUAACAAAAAUCAGAGAAAGACCGAAAACAAUCAGAAGCUCCCUUUUCUAAAAAAAACAGAGUAACAUCAACCCAGCUCCCUCUUCAACAAAGAGCCAGAAACGGACCCUCCCUCUUUAGCAAGAAAAAGCCAACGCCUUCCCCUCCCCAUUCUUAUCAUUCUCUUUCCAUCAAAUUAAAAAGAAACACACACAAGAGAAAUGGUCAAAUUCAAAAUAAAAAUGAAAGAAAAAACAAAAAAAUAAAGGGUUUGAACGUUGUUUGAAUUUCUGCUCUUUGGCUUCAAGUUUUCUGAAAUUUCGAGUGCCAUUUAGGUUGAAGAAGCUUUGUUUGGUCGACGGAUCUGUUGCUGAUGUUUUGCUGAGUCCGUAUGCUGUUUGUUUCAACUGAGCUCCAUCUUUCAUGGAUUUGCCUUUAGUUGGUCAUUUGGAUUCCAUUUGCGAAUAUUAGGUACACAUGCCUUCCUCAGUUUUUGUACUUCUGCUCGUAUGAACAAAAAAUUUAAGUUAAUAUGAAUUCCUUUUGUUUUUCUCUGAGAAUUUGACCAAUUUUGAUGUCUUCACUUUUCCUAAUUGUGCCAGUUUGAAUCUGGUAGUUUACCAGGAAGAAUAUAGUCUCCAGUGGUGUAAGACUCCUGCAAGUGAUGAAAUGGAUACCAUGUAAAAGAUAAGAGAUGACGAGAUAGGAUUCUGUUUUUUUUUUGCUAAACGUGUGACAAAAUCAUACAGUAGACAUAUAAUUGAUACCUUAGUAAUGGCUUAUGGGAAUAGUAGGUUAACUUCUAGGAUGACUUUCACAUAUAAUAAGACAGUGUUGCAUUUAUGAAUAAGAUGAUCUUAUUCAUUUCCUUGCGUAUUUGGUUCUCUAUAUCCUUGAUUAGUUUCAAGCAUUCAAUCAGGGACUUUGCCUUAAAUGUUGAAAUCUCAUGUGAAUAAUUGUAAAUUUGGAUUACUCUUAUAAACCAUUUGAUUCUGGGGCUGAUUUGAUCCAACCCAUUUUAAGAAUUCUAUCUUUAAAUGAUGGUUUGUGGUUUGGAAGGAUGAGAUAUUUUUGUUUGGAUCUUUUGCAAGUUGGAAAUUGAAAAUUUUACCAUUUUGUCUUUCAUGAGUUAAGCGAUGAAUGCACUGUCGUCAAUUCAUGUCAAUGAAAAGUUUUAUUUAGUGGGCUUCCUUUCUUUAUCUUGUACCAUUACAUUUUAUUUAUAAAUUCGUGACAUAUACAAUUAAUCUCAAACUUAAGAGUGGAACAAAUUACGAACAUCAUAGUUUGCUUUAGGCACGAUUAAUAAUAAUUAUCGUGGCCAUGGGUACGGUUACCGUGGCAUGAUCACGAUACAUAAUCCUCAAUUCGGGUGUGUAUUUCAUGUAACCCGAUCAUAACAACUUCGAAUAUUAAUAAAAUACACAUGUCAUGAAUCACAAGUGCAUUUCAUGUAGCGUGGUUCGUGGCGUGUUCCAAAACAAACAAGUGUACAACAAUCGUAACUUGUUCAAGAAAUAAUUCCAUAAAUCUUAAAAGCGUUAAAAUAAUUAAAAGCGGUUAUAAAGUUAAAAAUGCACAAUGAGUUUAAAACGUGUAAUAAAUCAAAUAAUAGGCCAAUUAUUAAUAGUUUAAGCGAUCGUGCUAGAACCAUGGAACCCGGGAAUGCCUAACACCUUCUCCCGGGUUAACAUAAUUCCUUAUCUAGAAUUUCUAGUUCGCAGACUUAUAAAGUAAAGUCGAAAUUUCCUCGAUUUGGGAUUUUAAAAUAAACCGGUGACUUGGGAUACCCUAAUUUAUUCCAAGUGGCGACUCUGAAACAUAAAUAAAAUAAUCCCAUUUCGAAUAAUGUCACUUUAAUUGAAAAAACUCCCUUAUAUCCCCUCUCGGGUGGUAAAAAGGAGGUGUGACACCCUUGAUCUAUGUUACGUGUUAUUCUCUUAUGUUGUGAUGGGCUGUGAAGUUGUAUGAUUAUUCUCCAUGCAUAUUGUAAUUCCGUUCAGGCCUUAUGGCGAUGUGGGCCAGAUAGCCCUCGUGAUGUUGAUUUUCUCAUUGCACCUUAGUUGUCCUUGCUUUUUUCCAUGUUUUAUUAUUUCUAUUCAGUUUUCCAUAAUUAUACUUGUUCACUCUGUUGUGCUUGAUAUCAGUAUUCAUGUGAUCAGUGAACCCGAGCACUUUGGCUUGAUGAGUAUCUGGGAGCGGGCUGCAUGCUGCAACGGAUGUUAUGUUGGAUACCCGUUACUUGUGUUUAUUUGGCAUUUUGUUUUCCCUCUUGUCACACCUCCUUUUUGCGCGCCCAGCCCCGAAGGGUUAAAAUGUGCGGGUGGAGUUUUUUCCAAUUUAAGUGACAAUAUUCGAAAUGGGAUUAUUUAUUUAAUUCAGAGUCGCCACUUGGGAAAGGUUUGGCUUUUGGUGUCCCAAGUCACCGGUUUAUCUUGAAUCCCAAAUCGAGGAAAUUUUCGACUUUUCCAAAUGAAGUCUGCGAACCAGAAAUUCUAAGUAAGAAAUUUUGUUGACCCGAGGGAAGGUGUUAGGCACCCUCGAAUCCCGUGGUUCUAGCACGGUCGCUUAAAUUGUUAUAAUGGCUAAAUAUCUGAUUUAAAUA